rnacentral:tRNA from 1 species
AUAGCUCAGUGGUAGAGUGUAUGCCUAGUAUGCACAAGGUCCUGGGUUCAAUCCCAGU